UCCCCACCCAUGUGUGUAGGACCCCAAAAGAUCACCGUUAAAGUUGACACGGAUCUCUAGAAAAAUUAUCAUAUGGGUGUGGGACAUGACUUUUCUAUAGAUCCGUGCUAAAUUUAAUGGUGAUCCUUUGGGGUCCUACACACAUGGGUGGGAG
rfam:Amborella trichopoda AMTR_V1.0_contig_25931, whole genome shotgun sequence.